rnacentral:tRNA from 1 species
AAAUGAGUAGUGAAACGGCAUCACACAGGUUGUGGCACCUGAGAUGCGGGUUCGAAUCCCGUCAAUUUC